AUACGGAGGAUCCGAGCGUUAUCCGGAUUUAUUGGGUUUAAAGGGUGCUCAGGCGGGGGAUUAAGUCGGCGGUGAAAUUUUGCGGGUCAACCGUAAAAGGGCCUUUGAAAAUGGUUUCCUUGAGUGUAGAUGAAGUAGGCGGAAUUUGUGGGGUAGCGGUGAAAUGCAUAGAUAUCACGAGGAACUCCGAUUGCGCAGGCAGCUUACUAAACUACUACUGACGCUCAGGCACGAAGGCGUGGGGAUCAAACAGGAUUAGAUACCCUGGUAGUCCACGCAGUAAACGAUGAUUACUAGCUGUUUGCGAUACAAUGUAAGCGGCUGAGCGAAAGCGUUAAGUAAUCCACCUGGGGAGUACGUUCGCAAGAAUGAAACUCAAAUGAAUUGGCGGGG
rnacentral:rRNA from 1 species